GUAGGGAAUAAUGUGCAAUGGGCGAAAGCCUGACACUGCAACGCCGCGUGUGCGAUGAAGGCCUUCGGGUCGUAAAGCACUUUUCUGGGAGAUGAGAAAGGACAGUAUCCCAGGAAUAAGCCUCGGCUAACUACGUGCCAGCAGCCGCGGUAACACGUAGGAGGCAAGCGUUAUUCGGAUUUACUGGGCGUAAAGCGCGUGCAGGCGGUUCGGUAAGUUGGAUGUGAAAGCUCCUGGCUUAACUGGGAGAGGUCGUCCAAUACUACCGGACUAGAGGACGGUAGAGGAAGGUGGAAUUCCGGGUGUAGUGGUGAAAUGCGUAGAUAUCCGGAGGAACACCAGUGGCGAAGGCGGCCUUCUGGGCCGUUCCUGACGCUCAGACGCGAAAGCUAGGGUAGCAAACGGGAUUAGAAACCCUAGUAGUCC
rnacentral:rRNA from 1 species